UACAGAGACCUCAAGCGUUAUCCGGAAUCAUUGGGCGUAAAGCGUACCGAUCGGUGGUUUUGUUAGUCUUGGGUAAAAGCCAGAAGCUCAACUUCUGCGUUUGCUUAAGAUACUGCAAUACUAGAGGGGCAAAGAGGUGCUCGGAACGAAUGGUGUAGUAGUGAGAUGCGUUGAUAUCAUUCGGAACACCGAAAGCGAAGGCAGAGCACUGGGUGCCACCUGACACUGCUAGGACGAAAGCGUGGGUAGCGAAUGGG
rnacentral:rRNA from 1 species